GAUGAACGCUAGCGAUAGGCUUAACACAUGCAAGUCGAGGGGCAGCACAAGGUAGCUUGCUAUCUGGGUGGCGACCGGCGCACGGGUGCGUAACGCGUAUGCAACUUGCCCUAUACAGGAGGAUAACCCGUCGAAAGACGGACUAAUACUGCGUAUGCUCACAACUUGGCAUCAAGUGGUGAGGAAAGAAAUUCGGUAUAGGAUAGGCAUGCUUCCCAUUAGCUUGUUGGUGAGGUAACGGCUCACCAAGGCAACGAUGGGUAGGGGAACUGAGAGGUUUAUCCCCCACAGUGGUACUGAGACACGGACCAGACUGAUACGGGAGGCAGCAGUGAGGAAUAUUGGUGAAUGGGCGCGAGCCUGAACCAGCCAAGUCGCGUGAAGGAUGACUGUGUUAUGGAUUGUAAACUUCUUGUAUACGAGAAUAACCAGAGUCACGUGUGACUCCCUGAAUGUACCGUAUGAAUAAGCAUCGGCUAACUCCGUG
rnacentral:rRNA from 1 species